GACGAACGCUGGCGGCGUGCUUAACACAUGCAAGUCGAACGGAAAGGCCCUGCUUUUGUGGGGUGCUCGAGUGGCGAACGGGUGAGUAACACGUGAGUAACCUUCCCUUGACUUUGUGAUAACUUCAGGAAACUGGUGCUAAUACCGGAUAGGAGCUCCUGCUGCAUGGUGGUGGUUGGAAAGUUUCGGCGGUUGGGGCUGGACUCGCGGCUUAUGAGCUUGUUGGUGGGGUAGUGGCUUACCAAGGCUUUGAUGGGUAGCCGGCCUGAGAGGUUGAACGGGCACAUUGGGACUGAGAUACGGAGCAGAGUCCUACGGGAGGCAGCAGUGGGAAAUAUUGCACAAUGGGCGGAAGCGUGAUGAAGCAACGCCGCGUGCGGGAUGACGGCCUUCGGGUUGUAAACCGCUUUAGCCUGUGACGAAGCGUGAGUGACGGUAAUGGGUAAAGAAGCACCGGCUAACUACGUG
rnacentral:rRNA from 1 species